GCAUUGGAAGAGUAAAAGUGCGAAAAACCCGGGGGGUGAGAGGAAGACAGUUUAGUAGGUAAAGCAAAAGCCGCACGCGCAAGCAAAGCAAAGCAAAGCAAAGCAAGGAAUUGGUUCCCGACUUCCCAUGGGCAGGCAGGUGUUCAGGUGUUUUAUUUUUUUACUUCUGUGUGCAUGCAUUUCUAUUUUUUAUUUUAUAUAGAGACACACACGUAUUUUUAUAAACUACCUGGUAUAUAUACACCUAUUUGGGAAGAGUGAGAGAGAAAGAAAAAGUCUGAAGCACUUGUGAAAUGUUAAAACACAUGCCUAAGUAAACUCAGUGGCUACGAGAAAGCUCCCUCCAGAGGAGCAAGCGGCGGCACAGAAACAUCUACUCCCAGAACGCAAGAUGUAGCCAAAUUGCCCUGGGGAAGCCGCCUGAUAAGAGCUCAGAGCUGGACUGCCAUCUGCUAGGAAAGACUACACAAACAGCGGACACUAAAGGCAAACCCACCAAACUGCACCCCACAAACCUACUGCAAAGGGGAUUGAAAACCAGUGGAAAGGGAGAGGGAGGAGGGAUUUCUCCAGUUUCCCUCUCCCAUUCCUACCUGCCCGUUCCUUAAGUGUCUCCGAAACAGAGCAAUGGAGUCCCCAGACACAGCAGUGUUCAAUUCCAGCCAGCACUUAAAGCCAGAGACGCAAGUUCCUCCCUGAAGCGAUCCCAUGCCAUGAGGACAGCUGGCUUCCAAACACAACUCAUUGCUCAGGGAUAAAUACGUACCUAGUGCAAUCGCCAACUACUUGCGCUUAACGUUUUUUGCUCCAUCUCCUUUCUGCAGGAAGAACCUCGGAGGCAGAAUCUCUCUCCCUGGAGCAAGAGCGCAGUUCAGCCCAGGCAGCGCAAGUCAAUUUGAAUUUUCUUAUCUCAAGAACAGAAUAUUUGUAAGGCGCGCACACGGCCGUGAUGACAUCAUGCAGUAACUCCUACCCUUCCUUCUCGCCACUAGUGCUGGGAAUUGUCCUUUCCUUCCAAGGAGGAAGAGGAAGGACGAGAGCAAGUGCCAAUCACAGCUGAGCACGGACGCUGUCCUCUUGACAGUGGCUUGGGGGUUAUCCUGAUGUCAGGGCUCUGACCCGCUGGGGAAGAAAGCCUCUGUUUCUUGCUUUACCACCUGUGAUUUGACCUUCCCUCCUUACCUGCUGUCCUAGGCACCUGCCUGCUUUGCCCAAGAGUAAAGCCUGGCUUGAGGAACAGCCUGCAAGAGCUAUUUUGUGUCAGCUGUACCGGGGGAUACCAGUUCCCCACUGGGAGAAACUGUGGAGCUGCUCAGGUAUCCACGUAUUUCACCAAAGUUUCCCCUCACCAACAUGUCUGCUGGCUUUAGGACAAAAAGUUGGGCUGGUUUUCCUCCUAGCGACUUGGAAAUUCUGUCGCAUUUUUCGUGUUUUUAAGUUGGUGGAGAAAACAUGGCAGGCGUUCUCCACACCAGUAGCGUCAACAGCAGUGAGCCCAGAGCACCGGAGAAAUGACUUGUUUCUUUCGCUACCAAAGAGCAUAGGAAGUGUGCAUGCGCCGUUUUGACAGCAAUCAAAAGGUUGGUAUCUGUUUUUCUUUGCAACGCAACGGCUUUUUUUUUUUUGAAGCUACACAUUCAAGAAAAAGAAAUCUUACCUGCUAGCAAGGCUCUGCUGUAGGAAAGAUGAAAAAUGGGCAACAGAAACUUGUCGUAUUUAGGCGAAAGGAGAGACGUAUGACCAGCGAUGCACAAAGCAGAUUUUGAAGGCAGGCUGACCACUGAGCCUCAAAGGCGGCCAAACUGCUAUUGAAAGGAUGGUCAGGAGACCUGUCUGGAGAACUAUGGCUACCUGGAUGGAGUAGUCGUUAUGCCUUACACAUCUGUUUUAUUCUGACACACAACUUCCGUGUUCAUGGAAGAACUCUCUGUUCUGAUUUUCUGACAGCCCUCCUUUAUGUUCCUGGGAUAAAAAAAAAAAAAAAGGAAAGCAGAAUUCAAGCAGUUUUCCGGGAAUCUAAUGAACUCGUAUUGGCCUAAACUGAGCAGGGGGCACCAUGCGCAUUUCCCACUGCAAACUGAGGAACGGGACUUGGGUAGCCAAUCCCACGGAUAAACUGAAACGCACUUUUGGAACAUCUUCCCUUCCUGUUUCCUAACCACUCGCCUGCGAUGGAGAGAGAGAAGUCUUUAAAAUCUUUGCUCUCUCGGGAGCCUUCACAGGCGGCUGUACAGUCAUCGUAGGCUUUGAAGAAAUCGGGAAGAGCCAGUUCCGUGCCCGAGAUGGACGUUCGCCAGUUGUCACCGUUGCACGCUCUCACGGCCCUGAGAAAGAGAUCCUGUAAAAUCGGCAGGAAUGAAAAGCAGCAGUAAGUGAUCUGUGGAAAGCUGUGUGCAAAAUCAAAUCCAGUAAAGGAUCUCUCUGCAUUUCUGGAUCCCGUCUGGACAUAGAAGCUGUUAUCCAGUUCAUAUGAGGACAACAACUACAGGUGGCUGAUGGAUUUUACCAGGUAUUUCCGAGAGCGCAGAGGAGGUAAUUCCAUUUCAGCACAACAGAAGAGCCUGCUGGACCAAAGUAACAGCGGGAGCCUAAAGCACAGGUUUUGACAGGGCUUUUUAAUGGAGUCUUAACACCGCAUGUCCGAGUUCUUGUAAGUUGUGCCGCUACAGCACUCGUGCAUUUGAGUAACUCUGUGCACCUGCUUAGCUCCACUAGUUACCUGCAUGUAGUAGCUUUCAGGUAUGCCGCUGUCUGUGAUGUACUGUGACUCAUUUAUGGAACAGUGAAAAGCACGAGAGGUGAGAAUUCCUGAACGCAUCGAGGCGGCAGAACAGAGAUGACUGAGGAAGACAGCAAGAGGGAAAGGAGAGUGAGAACACGUAAGCAACUGAGAUCCUUGAAUCUCACAGAAGAGGAGGAGUAAGAGAACAGUUCCAAAAGACCAGACUCUGAAUAAAAAGCAUACCUCAUCAG